AACGAACGCUGGCGGCAUGCCUAACACAUGCAAGUCGAACGAGACCUUCGGGUCUAGUUGCGCACGGGUGCUUGACGCGUGGGAACCUGCACUUAGGUUAGGAAUAACUCCCCGAAGGGGGUGCUAAUACCGGAUAAUGUCUUCGGGCCAAAGAUUUAUCGCCUUUGGGUGGGCGCGCGUUGGUUUGGGCGGUUGGUAGUGUAAAAGCCUACCAAGGCGUCGAUCCAGAGCUGGUGGGGGAGGAUGAUCCGCCAGGCUGGGCAUGCGACACGGCCUAGACUGGGAGGGGAGGGAGCAGUGGGGAAUAUUGGACAAUGGGCGAAAGCCUGACCCAGCAAUGCCGCGGGAGUGAGGAAGGCCGUAGGGUUGUAAAGCCCCUUUACACGGGAUGAUAAUGACAGUACCGGGAGAAGAAGCUCCGGCUAACUACGUG
rnacentral:rRNA from 1 species